UAAGUCAGCCACGAAUAGGCUAUCCCAACUAACGGCGGGAAAGACUCCACGGAGGGUGUAAGACCCGUGUGGGCGCGUGUUAAAGCUGUGCGGGCUCGGCCUCCAUUCCCUGAGAGUCGCGUUGCUUGAGCAUGCAGCGCUAAGCAGGUCGUAAACUCGAUCUAAGGCUAAAUAUUUCCACAGAACCGAUAGCGAACAAGUACCGUGAGGGAAAGUUGAAAAGCACUCUGGAGAGAGAGUCAAAAGACCGUGAAACCGCUCAGAGUAUAAGCCCAUGGCAGCUUGAAAGGCAUAUCGCUAGCGGGGCAUCGGUCUCCCUUCACGGGGAGCUGGUGUUACCUUGCUUCUGUUGUGGCUCGUCACGGUAGGGGGGUCAAGUCCACAUCCCGCCGACGUGUGGGGGGUUCUUGGGUGGUGUUGUGGCUUCUCGGUUGGCUUCGGCUUUCUGGGGGGCUCUUCGUGCUUGGUUCCUCUUUGUACACGGACGUUCAGACUCAGUUGUAAGACGCGAUAAACAGCCCACCACGGCACGUUGUGAGGUCACCCACAGGCUCGACUUUCGAAGGUGAGCCUUGACGCAGAGCAAGCACAGUGCGUGUCGCAGAGGUUCCUAACCAGGCAGCAAAUGUGCCAGGAUCGUGGAACGACACGUGCUCAACAGUCAGGUUCAGGCGGAGACAGAGUUCUGGUACGAUCCUUGCGACGAGCCGGCUUCUGGCCGACGUCCGAUGCUCAGGUCUCCCGCAUGUGCCGCGGGAGAUCGCUUUGACGGUCUGGA
rnacentral:rRNA from 2 species